GUGCCAGCCGCCGCGGUAAUACGGAGGGUGCAAGCGUUGUCCGGAAUCAUUGGGUGUAAAGGGUGCGCAGGCGGGUCAGUAAGUCGAGGGUGAAAUCUUGCCGCUUAACGGUAAAAGCGCCUUCGAUACUGCUGAUCUUGAGUCCAGAAGAGGCCGGUGGAAUUCGUGGUGUAGCGGUGAAAUGCAUAGAUAUCACGAAGAACACCAGUGGCGAAGGCGGCCGGCUGGUCUGGUACUGACGCUGAGGCACGAGAGCGUGGGGAGCGAACAGGAUUAGAAACCCCAGUAGUCC
rnacentral:rRNA from 1 species